rnacentral:rRNA from 1 species
AUGAUUGAUGGCGAUUCUAGAAAAGUGUUUGCUCCAUCAGAUUCACAUAAAAAGAAAUUGCACAACUGCAUCAUGGCUGUCCAGUAUAUGAAGGAAGCUCCGGUUCUGAUAUCUGAUGCAGAUGUAGUCAGAGUUUCAGCAGAAUAUAUUCUUAAUGGCGACAAGGAACUAAUUCUUGCAUUUCUAUGGAAUAUGUUCAUUCAUAUGCAGGUUAAUCUACACAUGUCGUUCAGUAUCUCAUUACUCAUGUUGAAGUUUUAUACUGUUUUAUUUCACCUUUCGUUUGUACUGAAGAGGUGGACUAAUGGACUGACUUUUGUAUUUUUCACUCACUGCAUAGGCAGCAUUACAGUAGAGAUAUGUUGUACUUCUCAGCAUUAUGUUCUUCCCUCAGUCUGUUACUAA